UUUUCGGCUGAUGGGAGGAAGGAGAAUGUUCUGUGAACCAGGAAGCCUAAAGAAGACAGAACAUGAGGAAGGAGACUGUCAUCUCCAGAAGGGUAUCUCCCAGGGCCCGGCACCCCAGGGGCACAAGUCAAGCUUCACGGAAGAGUGAGCCCCAUGAUGGGAGUGACCUUGUCUGCCAUCUUCACCAUUGUGUCAUUAGGACCCAGCACAAUCCUGGCAUAUAAUGUUGCUGUGUCUUAUAAUACUGGAGUGGUGACAACCAUCUGCAUCCAUGAGGAGAACCAACCUUAGGUUGAAGUCAACAGGAGAAGAGUGGAGCCUGUCCAUGAUGACCAGCUGAUUGUACCUUGUCUGGG